AACCAGUAUGGCAAUGCCUAUCCUGCCACUGCCACUGCUGCUACUGAGCGCCGACCAGCAGGCGGCCCCCAGAACCAAUUUCCAUUCCAAUUUGGCCGAGACCGUGUCUCUGCACCCCCUGGCUCAAAUGCCCAGCAGAAUAUGCCACCACAAAUGAUGGGUGGCCCUAUACAGACGUCAGCUGAGGUUUCUCAACAAGGUACCAUGUGGCAGGGGCGUAAUGACAUGUCCUACAAUUAUGCCAAUAGGCAGAGCACAGGCUCUGCCCCCCAGGGCCCUGCCUAUCAUGGUGUGAACCGAACAGAUGAAAUGCUGCACACAGAUCAGAGAGCCAAUCAUGAAGGUCCAUGGCCUUCCCAUGGCACACGCCAGCCCCCAUAUGGUCCCUCUGCCCCUGUACCUCCUAUGACAAGACCCCCUCCAUCUAACUACCAGCCCGCACCAAGCAUGCAGAAUCACAUUCCUCAGGUAUCCAGCCCCGCUCCCCCGCCCCGGCCAAUGGAGAAUCGCACCUCUCCUAGUAAAUCUCCAUUCCUGCACUCUGGGAUGAAAAUGCAAAAGGCAGGCCCACCAGUGCCAGCCUCACAUAUAGCACCUGCCCCUGUACAACCACCCAUGAUUCGACGAGACAUUACCUUCCCACCUGGCUCUGUUGAAGCCACACAGCCUGUGUUGAAGCAGAGAAGGCGGCUCACAAUGAAAGAUAUUGGAACCCCAGGAGGCAUGGCGUGUAAUGAUGUCACUCAAGUCUGGGCUGCUGGCAGAGAGCACAUGGGCAUUAGACACCAUUAACAUCCUGCUAUAUGAUGAUAACAGCAUCAUGACCUUCAACCUCAGUCAGCUCCCAGGGUUGCUGGAACUCCUUGUGGAAUAUUUUCGACGUUGUCUGAUUGAGAUCUUUGGAAUUUUAAAGGAGUAUGAAGUGGGUGAUCCAGGACAGAGAACAUUAUUAGACCCUGGGAGAUUGCGCAAAACCUCUAGUCCAACCCCUGUGGAAGGGGAGGAAGAAGAUGAUUUCCUAAGUUCUAAAUUGGAAGAGGAAGAAGAGGAGGAAGCAGUUGAAAAUGAUGAAGAGAUGGCCUUUUCAGGCAAGGACAGGCCAGCCUCAGAGAAUAGUGAGGAGAAGCUGAUCAGUAAGUUUGACAAAUUACCAGUGAAGAUCCUGCAAAAGAAUGACCCAUUUGUGGUGGACUGUUCAGAUAAGCUUGGGCGAGUGCAGGAGUUUGACAGUGGCCUGCUGCACUGGCGGAUUGGUGGGGGAGAUACCACUGAGCAUAUCCAGACCCACUUUGAGAGCAAGUCAGAGUUGCUGCAUACCCGACCUCAUGUACCCUGCCCACCAGCCCCCCGGAAGCAUGUCACAGCAACAGAGAAUAUGCUAGGGACAACAGAGCAGGAAGGUCCCCCACCUGAUGGCCCUCCAGAAAAACGUAUCACAGCCACCAUGGAUGACAUGUUGUCCACCCGGUCUAGUACAUUGACCGAAGAGGGAGCUAAGAGUACAGAGGCCACCAAGGAGAGCAGCAAGUUUCCAUUUGGCAUCAGCCCAGCACAGAGCCAUCGGAACAUCAAGAUUCUAGAGGAUGAGCCUCACAGUAAAGAUGAGACCCCACUGUGUACCCUUCUGGACUGGCAGGAUUCCCUUGCCAAGCGCUGCGUCUGUGUUUCCAACACCAUCCGUAGCCUGUCAUUUGUUCCAGGCAACGAUUUUGAG